AGGCUACCCCAUCAGCGAAAGGAAGCUCAAGGAGCUGCUAGGGCACACCCCGUCGCAGGUCUUCGCCGGCGCGUUCCUGGGCAUCCUGGUGGCCUGGUUCUGCUGCCAGGGCUGUAUCGGUGCCAUCUGAUGCUGCCGUUGUAGCAUGCCUGACUGCUUCAGAAAUGGAGUCAUUUUGUACCAUCAUUGGGGGGAAACAUUGGUAUUUUCUUUUCUUGGCG
rnacentral:rRNA from 1 species